UUCCCCCCCUCAGGAGAUGGAACAAAGCUCAGCCCAACAACUCCUGAUCCUAUUCCGGGACGGGGGCUGCCAAUUCCGGGGCGUUUACGCUUUGGGGGGGAUCCCCCCGACCCUAAAACGCCUUUCGGGGUCGGGACCCCGCAGCGUCCCCCUGCCCAUGGUGGAGGCUCUGUACAAAUACCAGUCGGACCAGCGGCGCUUCUGCCGCCUCCCGGCACGCACCAUGAGCGGCAGCGUGGACGCCUUCACCAUCCCCGGCCACCUCUGGCACCCCAAAAAACCCGGCACCCCAAAAUAAACCGGGGGUGAAACCCCAAAAAAAUUGGGGAGACCCCAAAUCUGAUCCCACUCUGCACUCGGUGUUUGGUGGAUGGGGACUUUUGGGGACUUUCGGGUACUUUUGGGGACAUUUGGGGACUUUUGGGGACAUUUGGGGGAUAUUUGGGGACAUUGAUGGGAUGUCUUCACCAUCCCCGGCCACCUCUGGCACCCCAAAAAACCCGGCACCCCAAAAUAAACCGGGGGUGAAACCCCAAAAAAAUUGGGGAGACCCCAAAUCUGAUCCCACUCUGAACUCGGUGUUUGGUGCUUGGAGACUUUUGGGGACUUUUGGGGACUUUGGGGGACAAUUGGGGGACACUUGAGGACAUUGGGGUGACUCUGAAGGGGUUGAGGGGAUGUCUUCACCAUCCCCGGCCACCUCUGGCACCCCAAAAAACCCGGCACCCCAAAAUAAACCGGGGGUGAAACCCCAAAAAAAUUGGGGAGACCCCAAAUCUGAUCCCACUCUGCACUCGGUGUUUGGUGGAUGGGGACUUUUGGGGACUUUCGGGUACUUUUGGGGACAUUUGGGGACUUUUGGGGACAUUUGGGGGAUAUUUGGGGACAUUGAUGGGAUGUCUUCACCAUCCCCGGCCACCUCUGGCACCCCAAAAAACCCGGCACCCCAAAAUAAACCGGGGGUGAAACCCCAAAAAAAAAUUGGGGAGACCCCAAAUCUGAUCCCACUCUCAACUCGGUGUUUGGUGCUUGGAGACUUCCGGGGACUUCCGGGUACUUUUGGGGACAUUUGGGGACUUUUGGGGACAUUUGGGGGAUAUUUGGGGACAUUGAUGGGAUGUCUUCACCAUCCCCGGCCACCUCUGGCACCCCAAAAAACCCGGCACCCCAAAAUAAACCGGGGGUGAAACCCCAAAAAACGGGGAGAGACCCCAAAUCUGAUCCCACUCAACUCUGUGUUCGGUGGAUGGGGAAUUUUGGGGACUUUUGGGGACUUUUGGGGACAAUUGGGGGACACUUGAGGACAUUGGGGUGACACUGAAGAGGUUGAGGGGACGCCUUCACCAUCCUCGGGCACCUCUGGCACCCCAAAAACCCCGGCACCCCCAAAUCAACCGGGUUCGAAGCCCCCAAAACCCGUCGGGACCCAGGGUGGGGACACGGGGACAGAGCCGCGCUCGGCGACAACGCCACGGUUUAUUGCCUCGGCGACAUGUCGCGACAUCCCGGCGACAUUCCGCGUCACACGCUGGUGGCCUGGGCGUCGUCGCCGGGCUCGUCGCAGCCCCUCGGGGACACGGGGACAGCGCGGGGAUGUCCCCAAGUCCUGCGCAGCUCCCGCUCCAGCCCCGAGAGCCGCCGCUCCUGCGAGGACACGGGGGGACACCGCGGGGUCACCUCGGGGUCACCGCGGGGUCACCUCGGGGACACCUCGGGGUCACCCAGUGUCCCCCCUGUCCCCAUCCCAGUCUCACCAGUUCCCGGCCCUUCUCCUCGCUGGUUUUCAGCCGCUCCAGGUCUUUCCUGCGGGUCCCUUCGGCCGCCGUCAGCCUGGGGGGGGCGGUGGGACCCCGAAUUGGGACCCCAAAUUGGGACCCCAAACUGGGACCUCAAAUUUCGGGGCGCUUUCCCC
rnacentral:lncRNA from 1 species